rnacentral:rRNA from 1 species
GAUGAACGCUGGCGGCGUGCCUAAUACAUGCAAGUCGAGCGAACAGACGAGGAGCUUGCUCCUCUGACGUUAGCGGCGGACGGGUGAGUAACACGUGGAUAACCUACCUAUAAGACUGGGAUAACUUCGGGAAACCGGAGCUAAUACCGGAUAAUAUAUUGAACCGCAUGGUUCAAUAGUGAAAGACAGUUUUGCUGUCCCUUAUAGAUGGAUCCGCGCCGCAUUAGCUAGUUGGUAAGGUAACGGCUUACCAAGGCAACGAUGCGUAGCCGACCUGAGAGGGUGAUCGGACACACUGGAACUGAGACACGGUCCAGACUCCUACGGGAGGCAGCAGUAGGGAAUCUUCCGCAAUGGGCGAAAGCCUGACGGAGCAACGCCGCGUGAGUGAUGAAGGUCUUCGGAUCGUAAAACUCUGUUAUUAGGGAAGAACAAAUGUGUAAGUAACUAUGCACGUCUUGACGGUACCUAAUCAGAAAGCCACGGCUAACUACGUG